UGAGUGAGGCAGCACCUUAUGGGAAAGUCUGCAAGCACAAUUUAAAUAUGAAAUAAAGAAUGCGGGGAUUACCGAAGCCAUGAAUGCUGAGAAAGUUAUCUUCACAUGCAUUCCCUAGUUAAUUAUUGGGUGACAAACUGAAUUUGCUAACCUGUGGCAGGACCACAUAGUUGUUUCCCAAUUGCCAGGUAAGAAACACCCCGUAAAAGUCUACACAUUAUUCAAGUCCAAAUCAUCAACUGCAAUAGUUAAGUUAGACAUUAGAUGCGCAAGGGGGAUGUAAACUGGCAAUAUUCAAUAAAUACAUCCAUACAUGUAAUGCUAAAUAUUGUCCGCUUAUCAUGUUAAAUGUGUUAGAAAACCAAAUGAGCUCCCAUUGAAAAUAGCCUUCAUUAGUUUAAUAAUGAUUAUGUAUGGAACUCAAGGCCCCUGCAAGGUCCCUGAGCACUGGGCCCUCUAGCACUAUUACAACGCAAUUGUUUAAUGAACUUUCAACAUGCACGAGCAAUUUGAGGCUGGACCAAUGCGACCCAUGGAAAAAGCAUUCUGCCAUUACUGACGUGGUUAUAGUAUAAAAACUCGACAGUCCUCUUAACUUGAUGGUGAAGCCUUUCAACAGAUUACUAUGAAAGGUAAGGGACCAUAGCUAAUGGAUUAUGGAUGAUUGAAGUACUUCAUGAACCCACAUCUUAAAAGGGAGCCAUGCCUCAGCAGUUGGAGCUCAUUGCAAAAGAAAUUCUUUCACCUUUGUAUAUGAUAUUCCAUCAUUUCACGGAGACAAUCAGGUAUGUUGUCUUUUGAUGAGUUCUUUUGUGCUUUGAAUGGAUACAAGUUGUAUCAUAGCAUAGUGGCUAAACUUUUCAAUAUGAAUGUUAUAGUUUCUACUUUUCCAAGAUGGGUUGAAUCUGGAGGGUGAGAGAAACCAUUAUCUCUCUCAUCAAUGUGGCUGGAUUUGAACUACUAUGAGUUUAAAUAGUGUAUUAUGUACAGUCAUGGUAAUAUUAUGGAUGGGAGGUUUCCUAAAUACUGCAUGUUUAUGUUCUUAUGCAAAAUAUUUUCAUUAUUAUACGAUAUAGGUGUUAUGUGUAUAUGACUUCUAUUCGAUAACUUGAAAUAUAUUUAUAUCAUUAUACAUAGAUUAUACAUAUCAUUCCAUAAAUAAAAAAUCUACAAAGAGAAUCAAAGUCACACGUAAAAAAAAGUGGCUUCAAAAGCACAUAUUUCUUAGAAACUUAAAAAAAAAAACCACAAACAGAAACAAGAAAAGGUCCAUUUAACUCAAGGAAGGGACCUAUGUCAAUGGAAAAUAAAUCUUGACUCGACAAGAAUAAGACAACAUGGAAUUGGCCUCCAGAAAUAGAUUGAAAUUAUAAAAUCUUACUCAGAAAUUGAAGAAAGAAGCCACAAACAGAAACAAUAAAUCUUGACCCAAGGAAGGGACCUAUGUCAAGGAAAAAUAAAUCUUGACUAAACCCCAAGAGGCCCUUUACAG
rnacentral:lncRNA from 1 species